rnacentral:rRNA from 1 species
AACGAACGCUGGCGGCAGGCCUAAUACAUGCAAGUCGAACGCACCGCAAGGUGAGUGGCAGACGGGUGAGUAACGCGUGGGAACCUUCCUAGUAGUACGGAGUAACUUCGGGAAACCAAAGCUAAUACCGUAUACGCCCUUCGGGGGAAAGAUUUAUCGCUAUUAGAUGGGCCCGCGUAGGAUUAGCUAGUUGGUGAGGUAAUGGCUCACCAAGGCUACGAUCCUUAGCUGGUCUGAGAGGAUGAUCAGCUACACUGGGACUGAGACACGGCCCAGACUCCUACGGGAGGCAGCAGUAGGGAAUAUUGGACAAUGGGCGAAAGCCUGAUCCAGCCAGGCCGCGUGAGUGAAGAAGGCCUUAGGGUUGUAAAGCUCUUUUGGCGGGGAAGAUAAUGACGGUACCCGCAGAAUAAGCCCCGGCUAACUUCGUGCCAGCAGCCGCCGUAAAAC